rnacentral:rRNA from 1 species
GAUGAACGCUGGCGGCGUGCCUAAUACAUGCAAGUCGAGCGAACAGACGAGGAGCUUGCUCCUCUGACGUUAGCGGCGGGCGGGUGAGUAACACGUGGAUAACCUACCUAUAAGACUGGGAUAACUUCGGGAAACCGGAGCUAAUACCGGGUAAUAUAUUGAACCGCAUGGUUCAAUAGUGAAAGACGGUUUUGCUGUCACUUAUAGAUGGAUCCGCGCCGCAUUAGCUAGUUGGUAAGGUAACGGCUUACCAAGGCAACGAUGCGUAGCCGACCUGAGAGGGUGAUCGGCCACACUGGAACUGAGACACGGUCCAGACUCCUACGGGAGGCAGCAGUAGGGAAUCUUCCGCAAUGGGCGAAAGCCUGACGGAGCAACGCCGCGUGAGUGAUGAAGGUCUUCGGAUCGUAAAACUCUGUUAUUAGGGAAGAACAAAUGUGUAAGUAACUAUGCACGUCUUGACGGUACCUAAUCAGAAAGCCACGGCUAACUACGUG